GUGCUUAACACAUGCAAGUCUAGGCAGAAAGUACUUCGGGUGCGAGUAAACUGGCGAACGGGUGAGUAACGUGUAGGUAAUUUGCCUACGAGUGGGGAAUAGGUCCGGGAAACCGGAAUUAAUACCGCAUAACGUCAUGCUCCGAUGGGAGUGUGAUCAAAGGUGGGGACCUUCGGGCCCAUCGCUUGUAGAUAAGCCUGCAUCUGAUUAGUUAGUUGGUAGGGUAACGGCCUACCAAGACCGCGAUCAGUAGCUGUUCUAAGAGGAAGAUCAGCCACAUUGGGACUGAGAUACGGCCCAGACUCCUACGGGAGGCAGCAGUGAGGAAUUUUGCGCAAUGGGAGAGAUCCUGACGCAGCAACGCCGCGUGACCGAUUGAAGCUUUUAGGAGUGUAAAGGUCUGUCGUGAGGGAAGAAAAAGACCGAGAAUAAUAAGUUCGGUAAUUGACGGUACCUCACAAGCAAGCUCCGGCUAACUUCGUGCCAGCAGCCGCGGUAAUACGAGGGGAGCAAGCGUUGUCCGAAAUAACUGGGCGUAAAGGGUACGUAGGCUUUUUUGUAUGUUUCCGGUGAAAUUCACAGGCUCAACUUGUGACUUGCCGGAAAAACUGCAGAGAUUGAAUCCGGAAGGGGAAAGCGGAAUUCCUGGUGUAGCGGUGAAAUGCGUAGAUAUCAGGAGGAACACCAGUGGCGAAGGCGGCUUUCUGGUCCGGAAUUGACGCUGAGGUACUAAAGCGUGGGUAGCAAACAGGAUUAGAUACCCUGGUAGUCCACGCCCUAAAUGAUGGAUACUUGAUGUCGGGAUGUUCGGUCGUCUCGGUGUCGUAGCUAACGUGUUAAGUAUCCCGCCUGGGGACUACGGUCGCAAGCUUAAAACUCAAAGGAAUAGACGGGGGCCCGCACAAGCGGUGGAGCAUGUGGUUUAAUUCGACAAUAAGCGAGGAACCUCACCUGGGCUUGACAUCUCAAGAAUCCUCUGGAAACAGAGGAGUGCCCGCAAGGGAAUUUGAUGACAGGCGCUGCAUGGUUGUCGUCAGCUCGUGCCCUGAGGUGUUCGGUUAAGUCCGUAAACGAGCGCAACCCUUAUCGUAUGUUGUAUUUUUCAUACGAGACUGCCGGUUUUACACCGGAGGAAGGUGGGGAUGACGUCAAAUCAGCAUGGCCCUUAUGUCCAGGGCGACACACGUGCUACAAUGGGGAGUACAAUGGGUAGCCAAGGCGCAAGCCGGAGCUAAUCCUCAAAACUCCUCUCAGUUCGGAUUGAGGGCUGCAAUUCGCCCUCAUGAAGUUGGAAUCGCUAGUAACCGCAGAUCAGCCACGCUGCGGUGAAUAUGUUCCCGGGCCUUGUACUCACCGCCCGUCACGUCAUGGAAGAUGGGAGCACUUGAAG
rnacentral:rRNA from 1 species